GAUGAACGCUGGCGGCGUGCCUAAUACAUGCAAGUCGAACGAGGUGCUCUUGUAGCAAUACGAGGGUAUCCUAGUGGCGAACGGGUGAGUAACGCGUUGGUGACCUGCCCCAAAGUGUGGGAUAACAGUCCGAAAGGAUUGCUAAUACCGCAUGUGGUCUUCGGGAUUAGAAUCCGAUGACUAAAGCAGUAAUGCGCUUUGGGAGGGACCUGCGUCCCAUCAGCUAGUUGGUGAGGUAAUGGCCCACCAAGGCUUCGACGGGUAGGGGACCUGAGAGGGUGGUCCCCCACACUGGCACUGAAACACGGGCCAGACACCUACGGGAGGCUG
rnacentral:rRNA from 1 species